ensembl:lncRNA
UGUCUCCAAUAUCCAGGGUUUCUGAUGGCGCCAGUGUCAAGGUCUUCCAGUGACUCCAGGUCUUCCAGCAAUUCCAAGUCUUCCAACAACAUCAAGGUCUUCCAGCUAACCCAGUCUUCCAGAAAUCUAUGUCUUCCGGACAAUCCAUGUCUUCCAGGAAAUCCAGUCUUCCAGCAAUUAUAUGUCUUCCACAAAAUCCAUAGCUUCCAGGAAAAUCCACGUCUUCCAGAAAAUCCAUGUCUUCCAACAAUUUCAAGGUCUUCCAGCCAAUCCACGUCUUCCAGAAAAAUCUAUGUCUUCCGCCAAAUCUAAGUCUUCCAGCUAAUUUACGUCUUCCAGAAAAAUCCAAGUCUUCCAGCCAAUCUCUGUCUUCCAGAAAGAAAUCCAGGUCUUCCACUCAGUCCAUGUCUUCCGGAGAAAUCUGUGUCUUCCAGAAAAAUCCAGGUCUUCCAACCAACCCACGUCUUCCAUCAAAUCCAGUCUUCCAGUGCAUUUAUGUCUUCCAGACAAAAAUCUAUGUCUUCCACUGAAUCCAGGUCUUCCGGUAAAUCUACGUCUUCCAGAAAAUUCAUGUCUUCCACUAAAUUCAGGUCUUCCAGCAAAUUUAUGUCUUCCUAGAGAUUGUCUUCCAGAAAAAUUCAUGUCUUCCAGCAAAUCUGUGUCUUCCAAAUAAUCCAGGUCUUCCGGACAAUUCGGGUCUUCCUGAAAAUCCAUGUCUUCCAGAAAAGCCAUGUCUUCCAGGAAAUCCAUGUCUUCCAAUGACCUCCAAGUCUUCCAGAAAAUCCAUGUCUUCCAUCAAAUUCACGUCUUCCAUCAAACCCACGUCUUCCAGAAAAUCCACGUCUUCCAUCAAAUCCAUGUCUUCCAGAAAAUCCACGUCUUCCAAGAAAUACGUCUUCCAUCAAAUUCAUGUCUUCCAGCCUACCCAUGUCUUCCAGAAGAUCCAAGUCUUCCAACAAAGUCACGUCUUCCAAAAAAUCCAUGUCUUCCAACAAAGGUGCAUCUUCCAGAAAAUCCAUGUCUUCCAACAAACCUGUGUCUUCCAGAAAAUCCAUGUCUUCCCACAAAACCAUGUCUUCCAGAAAAUCCACGUCUUCCAAGAAGGGUGCGUCUUCCGGAAAUCAGGUGCGUCUUCCGGAAAAUCCACGUCUUCCAACAAAGGGUGCGUCUUCCGGAAAAUCCACGUCUUCCAACAAAGGGUGCGUCUUCCGGAAAAUCCACGUCUUCCAACAAAGGGUGCGUCUUCCGGAAAAUCCACGUCUUCCAACAAAGGGUGCGUCUUCCGGAAAAUCCACGUCUUCCAACAAGGUGCGUCUUCCAACAAAGGGUGCGUCUUCCAGAAAAUCCAUGUCUUCCAACAGUGCCAUGUCUUCCAGAAAAUCCAUGUCUUCCUACACCUCCAGGUCUUCCAGCAUCUCCAGGGCUUCCAGCAUCUGCUCGUCUUCCAGCAUCUCCUCGUCUUCCAGCAUCUCCUCGUCUUCCAGCAUCUCCACGUCUUCCAGCAUCUUCAUGUCUUCCAACAACAACUCAGUCUUCCAAAAGUAGGCUCAAUAUCCACGUCUUCCAAUGUCUCCAGUGUACUGGUCUUCUAACAUUCAGGUCUUCUGGUGUCUACGAUAUCCAGGUCCCCAGUGCCACAGGCCCCUAA